rnacentral:rRNA from 1 species
UACGUAGGGGGCGAGCGUUGUCCGGAAUCAUUGGGCGUAAAGAGCGUGUAGGUGGCUUGGAAAGUCUUACGUGAAAGCCUGCGGCUCAACCGCAGAAGUGCGUAGGAAACUUCCUCGCUAGAGUCCGGAAGAGGAGAGCGGAAUUCCUGGUGUAGCGGUGGAAUGCGCAGACUAUCAGGAGGAACACCCGUGGCGAAGGCGGCUCUCUGGGACGGUACUGACACUGAGACGCGAAAGCGUGGGGAGCGAACAGG